rnacentral:rRNA from 1 species
AUUGAACGCUGGCGGCAUGCCUUACACAUGCAAGUCGAACGGUAACAGGUCUUCGGAUGCUGACGAGUGGCGAACGGGUGAGUAAUACAUCGGAACGUGCCUAGUAGUGGGGGAUAACUACUCGAAAGAGUGGCUAAUACCGCAUGAGAUCUACGGAUGAAAGCAGGGGAUCGCAAGACCUUGUGCUACUAGAGCGGCCGAUGGCAGAUUAGGUAGUUGGUGGGAUAAAAGCUUACCAAGCCGACGAUCUGUAGCUGGCCUGAGAGGACGAUCAGCCACACUGGGACUGAGACACGGCCCAGACUCCUACGGGAGGCAGCAGUGGGGAAUUUUGGACAAUGGGCGAAAGCCUGAUCCAGCAAUGCCGCGUGCAGGAUGAAGGCCUUCGGGUUGUAAACUGCUUUUGUACGGAACGAAAGGCCCUGGGUUAAUACCCUGGGGUCAUGACGGUACCGUAAGAAUAAGCACCGGCUAACUACGUGCCAGCCGCCGCCGUAA